rnacentral:rRNA from 1 species
AUUGAACGCUGGCGGCAGGCCUAACACAUGCAAGUAGAACGAGUGGCGGACGGGUGAGUAAUGUCUGGGAAACUGCCUGAUGGAGGGGGAUAACUACUGGAAACGGUAGCUAAUACCGCAUACCCUCGGAUGUGCCCAGAUGGGAUUAGCUAGUAGGUGGUGUAAAGGCUCACCUAGGCGACGCUCCCUAGCUGGUCGUAGAGGAUGACCAGGCAAACUGGAACUGAGACACGGGCCAGACUCCCACGUGAGGCAGCAGUGUGGAAUAUUGCACAAUGGGUGCAAGCCUGAUGCAGCCAUGCCGAGUGUAUGAAGAAGGCCUUCGGGUUGUAAAGUACUUUCAUCGGGGAGGCGUUACCCGCAGAAGAAGCACCGGCUAACUCCGUGCCAGCCGCCGCGGUAAUUC